rnacentral:rRNA from 1 species
UACGUAGGGGGCAAGCGUUGUCCGGAAUCAUUGGGCGUAAAGCGCGUGUAGGCGGCUUCGUAAGUCCGUUGUGAAAGUCCAGGGCUCAACCCUGGAAUGCCGAUGGAUACUGCGGAGCUAGAGUCCGGAAGAGGCGAGUGGAAUUCCUGGUGUAGCGGUGAAAUGCGCAGAUAUCAGGAGGAACACCAAUGGCGAAGGCAGCUCGCUGGAACGGUACUGACGCUGAGGCGCGAAAGCGUGGGGAGCGAACAGG